CGGAUUGGAGUCUGCAACUCGACUCCAUGAAGCUGGAUUCGCUAGUAAUCGCGCAUCAGCCAUGGCGCGGUGAAUACGUUCCCGGGCCUUGUACACACCGCCCGUCAAGCCAUGGAAGCCGGGAGUGCCUGAAGUGUGCAACCGCAAGGAGCGCCCUAAGGUAAAACUGGUGACGUGGGGCUAAGUCGUAACAAGGUAAC
rnacentral:rRNA from 1 species